UACGGUGGAUGCGAGCGUUAUCCGGAUUUAUUGGGUUUAAAGGGUGCGUAGGUGGUUUAUUAGGUCAGUGGUGAAAGUUUGUCGCUCAACGAUAAAAUUGCCAUUGAAACUGGUAGACUUGAGUAUGUUUGAGGUAGGCGGAAUGCGUAGUGUAGCGGUGAAAUGCAUAGAUAUUACGCAGAACUCCAAUUGCGAAGGCAGCUUACUAAACUGUAACUGACACUGAUGCACGAAAGCGUGGGUAUCAAACAGG
rnacentral:rRNA from 1 species